rnacentral:rRNA from 1 species
GGAGGGAGCGAGCGUUGUUCGGAAUCACUGGGCGUAAAGGGCGCGUAGGCGGCCGAGUAAGUCGUGUGUGAAAGACCGGGGCUCAACUCCGUGUACUGCAUGCGAUACUGCUCGGCUAGAGAAAGGUAGAGGCGAGUGGAAUUCCCGGUGUAGCGGUGGAAUGCGUAGAUAUCGGGAAGAACACCUGUGGCGAAGGCGGCUCGCUGGGCCUUUUUCUGACGCUGAAGUGCGAAAGCGUGGGGGGGAGCAAACAGGAUUAGAUACCCUGGUAGUCCACGCCGUAAACGAUGGGCACUAGGCGUUGGGAGGAUUGACCCUCUCAGUGCCGUAGCUAACGCGUUAAGUGCCCCCGCCUGGGAGUACGGCCGCAAGGCUG